rnacentral:misc_RNA from 1 species
CUGAGUACUACACUCUCUACCCUUUGUGAACUAUUAUACCUGUUGCUUCGGCGGCGCCCGCGAGGGGUGCCCGCCGGUCUCAUCAGAAUCUCUGUUUUCGAACCCGACGAUACUUCUGUGUGUUCUUAGCGAACUGUCAA